rnacentral:rRNA from 1 species
UACGUAGGGGGCGAGCGUUGUCCGGAAUUACUGGGCGUAAAGGGUGCGUAGGCGGCCCUUUAAGUCAGAUGUGAAAGCCCGCGGCUUAACCGCGGAACUGCAUUUGAAACUGGAGGGCUUGAGUGUCGGAGAGGGUAGUGGAAUUCCCAGUGUAGCGGUGAAAUGCGUAGAUAUUGGGAGGAACACCAGUGGCGAAGGCGACUACCUGGACGAUAACUGACGCUGAGGCACGAAAGCUAGGGGAGCAAACAGGAUUAGAUACCCUGGUAGUCCUAGCCGUAAACGAUGGGUACUAGGUGUGGGUGGUUUCGAUACCAUCCGUGCCGCAGCUAACGCAUUAAGUACCCCGCCUGGGGAGUACGUGCGCAAGCAUGAAACUCAAAGGAAUUGACGGGGGCCCGCACAAGCGGUGGAGCAUGUGGUUUAAUUCGAAGCAACGCGAAGAACCUUACCAGGCCUUGACAUCAUCUAGAAGGCUGUGGAAACACAGUCGUCCUUUGGACUGGAUGACAGGUGGUGCAUGGUC